GACGAACGCUGGCGGCGUGCUUAACACAUGCAAGUCGAACGGAAAGGCCCUGCUUUUGUGGGGUGCUCGAGUGGCGAACGGGUGAGUAACACGUGAGUAACCUGCCCUUGACUUUGGGAUAACUUCAGGAAACUGGGGCUAAUACCGGAUAGGAGCUCCUGCUGCAUGGUGGGGGUUGGAAAGUUUCGGCGGUUGGGGAUGGACUCGCGGCUUAUCAGCUUGUUGGUGGGGUAGUGGCUUACCAAGGCUUUGACGGGUAGCCGGCCUGAGAGGGUGACCGGCCACAUUGGGACUGAGAUACGGCCCAGACUCCUACGGGAGGCAGCAGCGGGGAAUAUUGCACAAUGGGCGGAAGCCUGAUGCAGCAACGCCGCGUGCGGGAUGACGGCCUUCGGGUUGUAAACCGCUUUCGCCUGUGACGAAGCGUGAGUGACGGUAAUGGGUAAGGAAGCACCGGCUAACUACGUG
rnacentral:rRNA from 1 species